GUGAAAGACUUCAUGUUUGGCUUGACAAACACCCAACGCUUUUCCAAACCUGAAAGUGGCCAAAGUGAUACAGUUGCUGUGGAUGAUGUCAGUUCCCUUUUGUCCAAUAUGGGGAUCUACCUAACCAAAGAGCAGCUCCAAGACACUUUGAAACGUGUGAAGGUGGAUGAAAAUGGGAAGGUGAACAUGACUGAACUGAUAGAAAGUGUGAAGAAAACCCAGUCUGAAGCUGGAAUGGAAAGGGUGCAUGUACACGACCUGGAUGCUGUUCUGGCCAAGAUGAGCAUUCACCUAACCAACAGUGAAAUCCAAGAAGCUUUGAAAUAUGCAUAUGUAGAUGAGGAUGGCAGAGUUAACCUGAAUGACUUCAUGAAUGCAGUGAGGAGGACUGUUCGGCUAAUACUAGGUGCAGAAGGUGAGUGGGACUGGGACCAUAUUUUAAUUAUGGCAGACUCAGUCAUGGCAGCAUCUGGUAGGCUUACAGCAGUUGCAUCUGAACUUUCCAUACUUUUGUACUUGUAA
rnacentral:lncRNA from 1 species